GGGCCUGUGGCUCAGCUGGGAGAGCGCCACACUCGCAUUGUGGAGGUCGCCGGUUCGAAUCCGGCCAGGUCCA
rnacentral:tRNA from 1 species